ensembl:miRNA
CGUCAAGAUGGCGGCGGGGAGGUAGGCAGAGCCGGACGCUGCUGCUGCUGCCGCCGCCACCGCCGCCUCCGCUCCAGUCGCC